AUCAAUAACAAGAAGCAUCAUAGAAGAAGAAAGUGAAGGUAAAAUAAUAU
rnacentral:guide_RNA from 1 species